AUGGCGGCGCUCGGGUAUGAGGCUGGGGCUAAGUUGGAUUCAGGUGUGCAGCCGGUGGGAGCUGAGGAAGCACCCAAGAUAAUAUAAGCAAGGAAAACUGUGUUUUUAGAAGUUCACGGAUUGGCAUAGUAUGUGGUGUUUUACAACCCAAUUCUUUGGCUUUUGUUAAAAAUGGACGUCUGGCAACCAAGUAUCAUGCCAUUCCACUGCCACCAAAAGGAAGGGUUUUACUCCACUGGAUGCUGCUUUGUCAGACACAAGUUAAAUUAAUGGCAAUUCCUGUAGUCUUUCAUAUUGCGAUUGGAGUAGUUAGUAGUCUACACUACUACACAGUAUUUGAAAGCACACUUGAGAAAAUUGUACCUGCAGAGUAACCAAAAAAAUGAAUGGUUGCUAACUUAGCAGAAUGAAGUUUUUGUGAAGUGGACUCGGGCAUUGCUGAAAUUGUUAAAAGUAACUCUGAACAAUUUGUUUCUGUGACUUUUGCCUGGCAUAUAGCAAAUACUCAAUACAUAUUCAAUAUGCAAUCAAUAAAUAAAAGUUUCAACUUAAAAAAAAAA